rnacentral:rRNA from 1 species
CUUGACGACCAUAGAACAUUGGAACCACCUGAUCCCAUCCCGAACUCAGCAGUGAAACGAUGUAUCGCCGAUGGUAGUGUGGAAGAUUAAAUUCCAAAAACCCUCAUCGCUUACGC